rnacentral:rRNA from 1 species
AUUGAACGCCGGCGGCAGGCCUAACACAUGCAAGUCGAGCGGAUGAGAGGAGCUUGCUCUUUGAUUCAGCGGCGGACGGGUGAGUAAUGCCUAGGAAUCUGCCUGGUAGUGGGGGACAACGUUUCGAAAGGAACGCUAAUACCGCAUACGUCCUACGGGAGAAAGUGGGGGAUCUUCGGACCUCACGCUAUCAGAUGAGCCUAGGUCGGAUUAGCUAGUUGGUGAGGUAAUGGCUCACCAAGGCGACGAUCCGUAACUGGUCUGAGAGGAUGAUCAGUCACACUGGAACUGAGACACGGUCCAGACUCCUACGGGAGGCAGCAGUGGGGAAUAUUGGACAAUGGGCGCAAGCCUGAUCCAGCCAUGCCGCGUGUGUGAAGAAGGUCUUCGGAUUGUAAAGCACUUUAAGUUGGGAGGAAGGGCAGUAACUUAAUACGUUGCUGUUUUGACGUUACCGACAGAAUAAGCACCGGCUAACUCUGUGCCAGCAGCCGCUGUAAAAC